UUCCUACGGGAGGCAGCAGUGAGGAAUAUUGGUCAAUGGGCGGGAGCCUGAACCAGCCAAGUCGCGUGAAGGAAGAAGGUACUUAGUAUUGUAAACUUCUUUUGUCGGGGAACAAAGGCGGAGACGCGUCUCCGGAUGAGUGUACCCGAAGAAAAAGCAUCGGCUAACUCCGUGCCAGCAGCCGCGGUAAUACGGAGGAUGCGAGCGUUAUCCGGAUUUAUUGGGUUUAAAGGGUGCGUAGGCGGACUGGAAAGUCAGCGGUAAAAUCGAGAGGCUCAACCUCUUUCCGCCGUUGAAACUGUCGG
rnacentral:rRNA from 1 species